GGCCGGAAUUACCCUCACCAGCUUCAGCUGGCCUUCAGCCUGGAGCUGCAGCCCUUCAGCCCCAGAAGGCUCUUUAUAGGCUCAGCCUAAAGGUUCAGGUUUGGGUAGAACUGGUUUGAGGCUCUCUGCUCCCUGUCCUUUGCUGAGUUAUUGUUUGGAUUUUCUGGACUGACUUGGCUGAGGAAGACUGGAUGGGUUUUGUUGCUGUCAUCAUCCUGGCUCUGCUCAGCUGGAUCAGGAGCCCCACCUGUGAGCUUAGAUGCUGAAGGCCUUUGGAAGAAGGAAACCCCCCAGGUGGUGAGGUUGGAGGAACACCAUCUCCAGGGGAAGCUCCAUCAGAAAGUCUGGGACUGCAAGAGCUGUCUGUCACCUUGUUCAUCUUGUGCCUGGUGAAAUGCUACAUUCACCUUUCCACAGCUAGCAGGAUGUGACCUUUGCAAAGGAGAAGAGGUGGGAAGAAAAGGUUUGAACCAUUCAGUGGCCAUAACCAACUGUGGAAUGCCAUAAAUGGAGCAAUAUAACGACUGGAGCUACCCAGCAUCCUUCAGAUUAACAGCUGGCUCUCCAAGGCUCCUUUGCAAAAGCAAUGCAGUCCUUCACACAGCAGCCUCUUUGGGCUAAGAUGAGCAAAGAUCUUUGAUGCUUCCAUUUUCUCACUCCAUGAAUGGAUCAAAGAGCCCAAAAUCCACAGGGCUUUGAAGCAGGAGGAGCACUGGAAGAGAGAGAUUACAGUCAGCUAGAACAGAAAUGCAUUAGUCUGGAGCUUGAUUGGUCUGGUUUUGUAGUUGACAUUUGUGAGCAUGAAAGCAUUAGGGAGAAGUAACAAUGCCAUUUUUAGAUAAAAUAAUAGUAGAUUAAAAAAAAGUUAAUUUUGUUCUAAAUUCCACAGUAAUAUUAUGUCUUGCAGUUAAUUUCUAACUAUCCUGAAGUGAUAACCAGUUUUCUUUUGUGUAAAAGGAGCCAUAGUCUAAGGAGACUCUUGAGUGGCAGCCAAGAUAUGAAAAAUGUUAUUUGAAUUAGGAAUUCUUAUCCAUGUUUAUAGUACUUUCCAGAGGCUUUCUCUCAUUUUUAGGCCUUUUUCACAAAAGCAUAUGCAAUAAAAAUGUUACUGCUGCCAGCUUGUAUGCCUGAAAGGUCAAUUCUUCUUUUUGUUCUAACUU